rnacentral:rRNA from 2 species
CAGCCGCCGCGGUAAAACCAGCACCUCAAGUGGUCAGGAUGAUUAUUGGGCCUAAAGCAUCCGUAGCUCGUUUUGUAAGUUUUCGGUUAAAUCCAUACGCUUAACGUAUGGGCUGCCGGGAAUACUGCAUAACUAGGAAGUGGGAGAGGUAGACGGUACUCGGUAGGAAGGGGUAAAAUCCUUUGAUCUACUGAUGACCACCUGUGGCGAAGGCGGUCUACCAGAACACGUUCGACGGUGAGGGAUGAAAGCUGGGGGAGCAAACCGGAUUAGAUACCCGGGUAGUCCCAGCUGUAAACUAUGCAAACUCAGUGAUGCAUUGGCUUGUGGCCAAUGCAGUGCUGCAGGGAAGCCGUUAAGUUUGCCGCCUGGGAAGUACGUACGCAAGUAUGAAACUUAAAGGAAUUGGCGGGGGAGCAC